ACGGCUCAGUACACGUCAAUAAUCUGCCUUAGAUCUGGGAUAUCCUUGGGAAACUGAGGUCAAGACCGGAUAGGCAAAGAGUACUGGAAUGUUUCUUUGCUCAAAGGCAACGUCUAAGGAUGAGUUGGCGGCUGAUUAGGCAGUGGCGGUGUUAAGGACCACCAAAACCUACAAUCAGUACGGGCCGUGAGAGCGGUAGCCCGGAGAAGGGUACUGAGACACUGACCCUAGCCCUACGGGGUGCAGCAGGCGCGAAACCUUUACAAUGUACGAAAGUGCGAUAAGGGAACUCCCAGUGCUCAGGCCUUGCCUGGGCUUUUGCCAAGUGUAAGUAGCUUGGAGAAUAAGUGGUGGGAAAGACUGGUGCCAGCCGCCGCGGUAACCCCAGCGCCACGAGUGGGGAUCGCGUUUAUUGGGCCUAAAGCAUCCGUAGCCGGUUUUGUAAAUCUCUUGUGAAAUUGUUGGGCUCAACCUAACAGCGUGCAGGAGACACUGCAAGACUAGGGACCGGGAGGAGUCAGGGGUAUGCUAUGGGGAGCGGUAAAAUGCUAUAAUCCAUGGUAGACCACCUGUGGCGAAGGCGCCUGACUAGAACGGGUCCGACGGUGAGGGAUGAAAGCCAGGGGAGCAAACCGGAUUAGAUACGAGAAAUCUGCCUGAUUUCUGGUAUUAGCUCGCAAUGUUGCUUAUAAAACUACAGUUGCGAAGGAAAACGGAAAUUGUUAAUGUGGAUUUGCUCGCUAAUUACCCGAGUAGUCCUGGCCGUAAACCCUGCGAGCUAGGUGUCGCAUAAUCUUCGUGAUUGUGCGGUGUCGUAGUGAAGAUGAUAAGCUCGCCGCCUGGGAAGUACGGUCGCAAGACUGAAACUUAAAGGGAAUUGGCGGGGGAG
rnacentral:rRNA from 1 species